CUGUCCAGAGUUUCUGUGGUCCCCGACAGACUUGCAAUGCUGUCCAGAGCUGGGAACAAGGAGUAGUUUCCCUGACCAUCAGCCUCCAUCUCAGACUCAAAUGUGUUUAAGGACUCCAUGGAGGACAGGGAAGAAACUCUACAGAUAUAGCUCCAAACAAAUCAAGUAUUUUCAGUUAUUGCUCCGUUUUUGGUUGUUCCCGAGUCGAAACCUCAGGGUUCUUCCGUCUUUUCAUCAAUGUUUACAAACAGUUCCCCAAAGAGAACCACGCAAAAAUAAAACUCUUAACUGUAUGAACAGCUGAACCAUAAAUACAUCACUCGGAAAUAUCAGGCAGCUAGCUCCUUAGCAUGGCUAACUAUUCUCGAGCUUCUUCUUCCUCUAUCAGGCUUAUUUGCGCAUUACCGCCGCCUUGCGAUCGGAGGUUGAACUGGAGUUCAUAGAAAACUUCAAAACUAAUGAAAAUCUGUGACAUAUUUAUCACAAAAUCAUGUGCUUUUUACAGUCAAACUAAGGUUAUUUAAUUGUUCACAUCGCUGUGUUUAAUAUCUUGAAGCAAAAAGACAGAAGUAUUCUUAUUAUCUUAAACCUCUACCUGUGUCCUGACAUUGGAUUGGUAACGUGCCCCACCUGUAAACUGUUGCAUGUGAAUGUGCAACAGUAAAGUAAUAAAUCCAUCCUAUAUCAAUGACACAGUAGAGACUCAUCUGUUUCUUUCCAGUGUUGAAUCAACUGUGUUUCCCAAUUCUUAAAUUGCUCCAUGAAGGAAAAAAAACAAUGUCAUUUCACAACAAAGUAGCUCAGACAUGAAUGAGAAACAGAGAUUGCUCACACUGUUUGCAUCCAUUUACUGCGCAAGUAUAUCCAGCAAUCCAACAGAGCGCUUACAUUACCUUAAUUCAUCACAUUUAGUUUAUUUAACAACCAAUACAUUUUGUGAUUUUUUUGCACGGCUUUCUUAGGAAAACAUACUUCUGUGA